GUCUAUGGCCAUACCACCCUGAAUGCACCUGAUCUCUUCUGAUCUCUGCAGCUAAGCAGGGUCAGGCUGGUUAGCACUUGGACAGAGUGAUCAUAUUCA
rnacentral:rRNA from 1 species